UCUACGGGCGGCAGCAGUGAGGAAUAUUGGUCAAUGGGCGCGAGCCUGAACCAGCCAAGUAUCGUGAAGGAUGACUGCCCUACGGGUUGUAAACUUCUUUUAUAAAGGCAUAAAGUGAGGCACGUGUGCCUUUUUGUAUGUACUUUAUGAAUAAGGAUCGGCUAACUCCUUGCCAGCAGCCGCGGUAAUACGGAGGAUCCGAGCGUUAUCCGGAGUUAUUGGAUUUAAAGGGAGCGUAGAUGGGUUGUUAAAUCAGUUGUGAAAGUUUGCGGCUCAACCGUAAAAUUGCAAUUGAUACUGGCAGUCUUGAGUACAGUUGAGGUAGGCGGAAUUCGUGGUGUAGCGGUGAAAUGCUUAGAUAUCACGAAGAACUCCGAUUGCGAAGGCAGCUUACUAAACUGCCACUGACAUUGAUGCUCGAAAGUGUGGGUAUCAAACAGGAUUAGAUACCCUUGUAGUC
rnacentral:rRNA from 1 species